rnacentral:rRNA from 11 species
GGCGCACGGGUGCGUAACGCGUAUGCAACCUACCUUAUACUGGGGAAUAGCCCGAAGAAAUUCGGAUUAAUGCCCCAUAGUAUUGUCGAUUCGCAUGUUUUGACAAUUAAAGAUUACGGUAUAAGAUGGGCAUGCGUCCCAUUAGCUAGAUGGUAAGGUAACGGCUUACCAUGGCAACGAUGGGUAGGGGGCCUGAGAGGGUGAUCCCCCACACUGGUACUGAGACACGGACCAGACUCCUACGGGAGGCAGCAGUGAGGAAUAUUGGACAAUGGAGGCAACUCUGAUCCAGCCAUGCCGCGUGCAGGAAGACUGCCCUAUGGGUUGUAAACUGCUUUUAUACAGGAAGAAACACCCCGACGUGUCGGGGCUUGACGGUACUGUAAGAAUAAGGAUCGGCUAACUCCGUGCCAGCAGCCGCGGUAAUACGGAGGGGGUUAGCGUUG